CAAAUUUUGUAUACUUAAGAACUAAUUAGGAAACAAAGUUGGUCCCAGCAGAAGGGAUUUUGGCCAUGUAUUCAAUGUAAUGUUUAGCCCGUGAGUAGAAGGCAAUAAUGGGUGGGUGGGUGUGUGUGGGGUCAAAGGGGUUUGGAGGCCAUAAAUAAGAGCUACAGCUACAGAAACAGCAACAUCCAUCCAGCUCUGUUCUUGUGUAAUGUGCAUAUCAGUUCUGUGGAACCAAAGGGAAGAGAGAGAGCUCAGAGACUGAAACAGAGGGGGCUGAGAGGGUGAAGUGAGCCAACAAAAGGACCCAAUUAUGAACCCAGAGAAGAAAAAAGCUUCAGACAAUUGCCUCUGCACUUGGAGUGGAUGAUUGAGUGGAUGAUGAUGAUGAAGAGGGAGAAUUUUGCUUACUUCACCCAUGGCUGAGGCGGAGAGCUCUGGGUAGCGGUGGGUGUUGUUGGCUGAGGCGGAGAGCUCUGUGUAGCGGUGGGUGUUGUUGGCUUCGGCUGCUGUCUCUGGGUCUGUGUGGGCGAGGGAGUCUGGAUUUAUGGGCGUGGGAGAAGAGGAGAAGAGAAGAGAAGGGGUUUUGAAAGCUGGGUAAUCUGCAAAUCUGACGUGGCGCCAUUUAAUGCAGGCACCCCAUAUGUCCCUUUGUACUCACUCUACUUUCCAAUUUUGCCCUUCACUUUCAAAUUUUUGAAAAUAUAUAAUUAUGUUCUAA